ACUCAAAUGAAUUGACGGGGACUUGCACAAGCGGUGGAACAUGUGGUUUAAUUCGACGAUAAACGAAGAACCUUACCAGGGUUAGAAAUCCAGACGAAGAUCCUCAGAAACGGGGAUCGCCGAAAGGCGGCUGGACAGGUGCUGCAUGGCUGUCGUCAGUUCGUGGUUUGAACUGUUCUCUUCAGUGAGGUAACGAACGCAACCCCUGUUGUCUGUUAUAAGUGUCAGACGAGACCGCCCAGCCCUUUGGGCAUGAAUCGGACCGCGCAAGCGGUGAGGUUCGUGAGCAGAAGGCUGGGAGGAAGGUGGGGAUGACGCCAAGUCAGCAUGGCCCUCUGAUACCCUGGGCUACACACGUGUUACAAUCGCAUCUACAACGGGACGCAAAAUCGCGAGAUAGAGCAAACCCUUAUAAAAGAUGCGCCAGUUCGGAUUGGAGUCUGCAACUCGACUCCAUGAAGCCGGAAUCGCUAGUAAUCGCAGGUCAGCUAUACUGCGGUGAAUACGUUCUCAAGUCUUGUACACACCGCCCGU
rnacentral:rRNA from 1 species